AGCGUUGUUCGGAAUUACUGGGCGUAAAGCGCGCGUAGGCGGUUUUGCAAGCCAGAGGUGAAAUGCCUGAGCUCAACUUAGGAAUUGCCUUUGGGACUGCGAGGCUUUGAGGACGGGAGAGGUGAGUGGAAUUCCCAGUGUAGAGGUGAAAUUCGUAGAUAUUGGGAAGAACACCGGUGGCGAAGGCGGCUCACUGGCCCGUUUCUGACGCUGCAGCGCGAAAGCGUGGGGAUCAAACAGG
rnacentral:rRNA from 1 species